UACGAAGGGGGCUAGCGUUGCUCGGAAUCACUGGGCGUAAAGGGUGCGUAGGCGGUUCUCCAAGUCCGUUGUGAAAGCCCCGGGCUCAACCUGGGAAUGGCAGUGGAAACUAGGGGACUGGAAUCUGGCAGAGGGGGGUGGAAUGCCGCGUGUAGCAGUGAAAUGCGUAGAGAUGCGGCGGAACACCGAUGGCGAAGGCAGCCCCCUGGGCUGAGAUUGACGCUCAGGCACGAAAGCGUGGGGAGCAAACAGG
rnacentral:rRNA from 1 species